rnacentral:rRNA from 1 species
GAUGAACGCUAGCGAUAGGCUUAACACAUGCCAGUCGAGGGGCAGCAUGGUCUUAGCUUGCUAAGACUGAUGGCGACCGGCGCACGGGUGCGUAACGCGUAUGCAACUUGCCUCACAGAGGGGGAUAACCCGUCGAAAGACGGACUAAUACCGCGUACACUCCAUCUUGGGCAUCCAAGGUAGAGGAAAUGAAAUUCGCUGUGAGAUAGGCAUGCGUCCCAUUAGCUAGUUGGUGAGGUAACGGCUCACCAAGGCGACGAUGGGUAGGGGAACUGAGAGGUUGAACCCCCACACUGGUACUGAGACACGGACCAGACUACUACGGGAGGCAGCAGUGAGGAAUAUUGGUCAAUGGGCGAGAGCCUGAACCAGCCAAGUCGCGUGAAGGAUGACUGUCUUAUGGAUUGUAAACUUCUUUUAUACGGGAAUAACAAGAGUCACGUGUGACUCCCUGCAUGUACCGUAUGAAUAAGCAUCGGCUAACUCCGUG